rnacentral:rRNA from 1 species
UACAGAGGGUGCAAGCGUUGUCCGGAAUCACUGGGCGUAAAGGGCGCGUAGGCGGCCUGGUAAGUCGGGGUGAAACGACUGCGGCGUCAACCGCAGCACUGCCUUCGAGACUGCCUGGCUUGAGCACGGUAGAGGCUGGUGGAAUUCCCGGUGUAGCGGUGGAAUGCGUAGAGAUCGGGAAGAACAUCGGUGGCGAAGGCGGCCAGCUGGGCCGUUGCUGACGCUGAGGCGCGACAGCGUGGGGAGCAAACAGGAUUAGAAACCCGGGUAGU